AACGAACGCUGGCGGCAUGCCUAACACAUGCAAGUCGAACGAGACCUUCGGGUCUAGUGGCGCACGGGUGAGUAACGCGUGGGAACCUGCCCUUAGGUUCGGAAUAACUCCCCGUAAGGGGUGCUAAUACCGGAUAAUGUCUUCGGACCAAAGAUUUAUCGCCUUUGGAUGGGCCCGCGUUGGAUUCGCUAGUUGGUAGGGUAAAAGCCUACCAAGGCGACGAUCCAUAGCUGGUCUGAGAGGAUGAUCAACCACACUGGGACUGAGACACGGCCCAGACUCCGACGGGAGGCAGCAGUAGGGAAUAUUGGACAAGGAGCGAAAGCCUGAUCCAGCAGUGCCGCGUGAGUGAGGAAGGCCUUAGGAUUGUGAAGCUCUUUGAGCCGGGAUGAGAAUGACAGUACCGGGAGAAUAAGCACCGGCUAACUCCGUG
rnacentral:rRNA from 1 species